rnacentral:rRNA from 1 species
CCUACGGGAGGCAGCAGUGGGGAAUAUUGCACAAUGGGCGGAACCCUGAUCCAGCGACGCCGCGUGAGUGAAGAAGUACUUCGGUAUGUAAAGCUCUUUCAGCAGGGAAGAAAGAGAUGACGUUACUUGCCUAAGCAGUCCCGGCUAACUACGUGCCAGCAGCCGCCGUACUACGUAGGGGGCAAGCGUUAUGCGGAUUUACUGGGUGUAAAGGUAGCGUAGGCGGCGAGGCAAGUCUGAAGUGAAAGGCGGGGGCCCAACCCCCGAACUGCUUUGGAAACUGGCUGGCUGGAGUGCAGGAGAGGGGAGUGGAAUUCCAGGUGUAGCGGUGAAAUGCGUAGAUAUUAGGAAGAACACCAGUGGCGAAGGCGGCUUACUGGACUGUAACUGACGUUGAGGUGCGAAAGCGUGGGGAGCAAACAGGAUUAGAUACCCCAGUAGUC